rnacentral:rRNA from 1 species
UACGGGGGUGGCUAGCGUUACUCGGAAUUAUUGGGUGUAAAGGGCAAGUAGGCGGUCUAGUAAGUAAGGGGUGAAAUCCCACGGCUCAACCGUGGAACUGCCUUUUAAACUGCUAGGCUUGAGGUUGUCAGAGGGAAGGGGAAUUCUCGGUGUAAGGGUGAAAUCUGUAGAUAUCGAGAAGAACACCAGCGGCGAAGGCGCCUUCCUGGGACAAACCUGACGCUAAAUUGCGAAAGCUAGGGGAGCAAAC